rnacentral:rRNA from 1 species
GGGGGACCUUCGGGCCUCUUGCCAUCGGAUGUGCCCAGAUGGGAUUAGCUAGUAGGUGGGGUAACGGCUCACCUAGGCGACGAUCCCUAGCUGGUCUGAGAGGAUGACCAGCCACACUGGAACUGAGACACGGUCCAGACUCCUACGGGAGGCAGCAGUGGGGAAUAUUGCACAAUGGGCGCAAGCCUGAUGCAGCCAUGCCGCGUGUAUGAAGAAGGCCUUCGGGUUGUAAAGUACUUUCAGCGGGGAGGAAGGGAGUAAAGUUAAUACCUUGGCUCAUUGACGUUACCCGCAGAAGAAGCACCGGCUAACUCAUUGCCAGCAGCCGCCGUAAUCCGGAGGGUGCAAGCGUUAAUCGGAAUUACUGGGCGUAAAGCGCACGCAGCGGAUUC